rnacentral:rRNA from 1 species
GAUGAACGCUGGCGGCGUGCCUAAUACAUGCAAGUCGAGCGAACAGAUAAGGAGCUUGCUCCUUUGACGUUAGCGGCGGACGGGUGAGUAACACGUGGGUAACCUACCUAUAAGACUGGAAUAACUCCGGGAAGCCGGGGCUAAUGCCGGAUAACAUUUAGAACCGCAUGGUUCUAAAGUGAAAGAUGGUUUUGCUAUCACUUAUAGAUGGACCCGCGCCGUAUUAGCUAGUUGGUAAGGUAACGGCUUACCAAGGCAACGAUACGUAGCCGACCUGAGAGGGUGAUCGGCCACACUGGAACUGAGACACGGUCCAGACUCCUACGGGAGGCAGCAGUAGGGAAUCUUCCGCAAUGGGCGAAAGCCUGACGGAGCAACGCCGCGUGAGUGAUGAAGGUCUUCGGAUCGUAAAACUCUGUUAUUAGGGAAGAACAAAUGUGUAAGUAACUGUGCACGUCUUGACGGUACCUAAUCAGAAAGCCACGGCUAACUACGUG